rnacentral:rRNA from 1 species
ACGCCGCGUGAGUGAUGAAGGUUUUCGGAUCGUAAAGCUCUGUUGCCAGGGAAGAACGUCUCAUAGAGUAACUGCUAUGAGAGUGACGGUACCUGAGAAGAAAGCCCCGGCUAACUACGUGCCAGCAGCCGCGGUAAUACGUAGGGGGCAAGCGUUGUCCGGAAUUAUUGGGCGUAAAGCGCGCGCAGGCGGUUCUUUAAGUCUGGUGUUUAAACCCGAGGCUCAACUUCGGGACGCACUGGAAACUGGGGAACUUGAGUGCAGAAGAGGAGAGUGGAAUUCCACGUGUAGCGGUGAAAUGCGUAGAUAUGUGGAGGAACACCAGUGGCGAAGGCGACUCUCUGGGCUGUAACUGACGCUGAGGCGCGAAAGCGUGGGGAGCGAACAGGAUUAGAUACCCUGGUAGUCCACGCCGUAAACGAUGAAUGCUAGGUGUUAGGGGUUUCGAUACCCUUGGUGCCGAAGUUAACACAUUAAGCAUUCCGCCUGGG